GACGAACGCUGGCGACGUGCUUAACACAUGCAAGUCGAACGGGCCCGCCCCUGUUUUUGGGGGUGGGUUGAGUGGCGAACGGGUGAGUAUCACGUGAGUAACCUGCCCCCUGCUCCUGGAUAACUGCUUGAAAGGGCGGCUAAUACGGGGUGUGCCGGCUGGUCCGCAUGGGCCUGGUCGGGAUAGUUUCAUCUUCGGGUGUUUCGGUGGGGGAUGGGCUCGCGGCCUAUCAGCUUGUUGGUGGGGUGAUGGCCCACCAAGGCGGUGACGGGUAGCCGGCCUGAGAGGGUGGGCGGCCACACUGGGACUGAGACCCGGCCCAGACUCCUGCGGGAGGCAGCAGUGGGGGGUAUUGCACAAUGGGCGGAAGCCUGAUGCAGCGACGUCGCGUGAGGGAUGGAGGCCUUCGGGUUGUGAACCUCUUUCUCCGGUGGUGAAGGCCCUGUCCGUUGCGGCGGGGUUGACGGUAGCCGGGUAUGAAGCGCCGGCUAACUACGUG
rnacentral:rRNA from 1 species